rnacentral:rRNA from 1 species
GACGAACGCUGGCGGCGUGCUUAACACAUGCAAGUCGAACGGAAAGGCCCUGCUUUUGUGGGGUGCUCGAGUGGCGAACGGGUGAGUAACACGUGAGUAACCUGGCCUUGACUUUGGGAUAACUUCAGGAAACUGGGGCUAAUACCGGAUAGGAGCUCCUGCUGCAGGGUGGGGGUUGGAAAGUUUCGGCGGUGGGGGAUGGACUCGCGGCUUAUCAGCUUGUUGGUUGGGUAGUGGCAUACCAAGGCUUUGACGGGUAGCCGGCCUGGGAGGGUGAACGGGCACAUUAGGACUGCGAUACGGCCCAGAGUGGUACGGGAGGCAGCAGUGGGGAAUAUGGCACAAUGGGCGGAAGUCUGAUGCAGCAACGCCGCGUGCGGGAUGACGGCCUUCUGGUUGUAAACCGCUUUAGCCUGUGACGAAGCGUGAGUGACGGUAAUGGGUAAAGAAGCACCGGCUAACUACGUG